AGGAAGUAAAAGUCGUAACAAGGUUUCCGUAGGUGAACCUGCGGAAGGACAUUACUGAAUUUUGAAAGGGGUUGUAGCUGGCCUCUUUAUCGGAGGCAGUGCACACCCUGUUCAUCCAUUCUACACCUGUGCACACCCUGUAGGUUGUUUUGAAUGGGUCUUCUUAUGAGGACUUGUUGAGACCUUCCUAUGUUUUAUACACACACUUUGUCAGUUAAAGAAUGUAAUCGCGUUUAACGCAUUUUUACAACUUUCAGCAACGGAUCUCUUGGCUCUCGCAUCGAUGAAGAACGCGCGAAAUGCGAUAAGUAAUGUGAAUUGCAGAAUUCAGUGAAUCAUCGAACUUUGAACGCACCUUGCGCUCCUUGGUAUUCCGAGGAGCAUGCCUGUUUAGUGUCAUGGAAUUCUCAACCCUCUCAUCUUUGUUGUGAGUUGGGCUUGAUUUGGAGGCUUUGCUGGUUUUUGUAAAUCAGCUCCUCUUGAAUGCAUUGCUUAAACCUCUGCGGAACGGCUGUUCGGUGUGAUAAUUGUCUACGCCGGCGUCGUGAAGCUUUGUUACACUUUGUUGUGUAAGGGGGUGUAGCUUCCAUCGUCUCUUUAUUGGGACAAUAUUUGACCUCUGACCUCAAAUCAGGUAGAUUACCCGCUGAACUUAAGCAUAUCA
rnacentral:rRNA from 1 species